rnacentral:rRNA from 1 species
UACGUAGGGGGCAAGCGUUAUCCGGAUUUACUGGGCGUAAAGGGAGCGUAGACGGCAAAGCAAGUCCGGAGUGAAAGCCCGGGGCCCAACCCCGGGACUGCUCUGGAAACUGUUAAGCUGGAGUGCGGGAGGGGCAGGCGGAAUUCCUGGUGUAGCGGUGAAAUGCGUAGAUACCAGGAGGAACACCGGCGGCGAAGGCGGCCUGCUGGACCGUGACUGACGUUGAGGCUCGAAAGCGUGGGGAGCAAACAGG